ACCGGGGAGUACAAGUGCGAG
rnacentral:misc_RNA from 1 species